rnacentral:rRNA from 1 species
GAUGAACGCUGGCGGCGUGCUUAACACAUGCAAGUCGAACGGGAAACCUUUUAUUGAAGCUUCGGCAGAUUUAGCUGGUUUCUAGUGGCGGACGGGUGAGUAACGCGUGGGUAACCUGCCUUAUACAGGGGGAUAACAGUCAGAAAUGGCUGCUAAUACCGCAUAAGCGCACAGAGCUGCAUGGCUCAGUGUGAAAAACUCCGGUGGUAUAAGAUGGACCCGCGUUGGAUUAGCUGGUUGGUGGGGUAACGGCCCACCAAGGCGACGAUCCAUAGCCGGCCUGAGAGGGUGAACGGCCACAUUGGGACUGAGACACGGCCCAGACUCCUACGGGAGGCAGCAGUGGGGAAUGUUGCACAAUGGGGGAAACCCUGAUGCAGCGACGCCGCGUGAAGGAAGAAGUAUCUCGGUAUGUAAACUUCUAUCAGCAGGGAAGAUAAUGACGGUACCUGACGAAGAAGCCCCGGCUAACUACGUG